CCCAUAGUGGCUGUAGGGAGGGCAGGCCAGCUCUGGAGGAAGACAGAUGGGGGUUGAUAAUUAUUCAAGCAUUACUAUUCUGGAACAUUUCCAACCAGGAAAGAACCAAGGGAGCAGAGGGAGGAUUGAGGGGGCCAAGGAAAGGUCACAAUGGCAAAGGCGAGAAGGGAGAGGCAUCAACGGGAGAUAAGGAAACUGAGGCCCAGAGAGGUUAAGCGACUUGCCCAAGGUCACAUACCGACCGAGUGAUGGAGUUGGGAUUUCGAACAGGCGAUCGGGCUCCCUGAGCCCACACUCCCGCUCGGCAAGCUCAUCGGGGAGAGCGGUGCCCACCCCGGCGGCAGACCGCCCCCCACUGGCCGAGCUCCGCGCCCACUUGAGCCACCCGCCCGCCCGGCCCCCUGGAGUUGGGUUUUGAGCCCUGAAGGAGCAGCAGGAAAUGGCCGGGAGGGUGAGGGAAUGGCACGCACCUCAGGACUCCGAGGCGUGACCAGAGGUGCCUGCCUCCUGUCUUCAGGGGUCAGACCCCACUGCUCUCCUGCCUCCUUGCCUGCUUUAUUUUUCUCCAGAACAAACUGUGUACCUUCC
rnacentral:lncRNA from 1 species